GUGCCAGCCGCCGCGGUAAUACCGGCAGCCCAAGUGAUGGCCGCUGUUAUUGGGCCUAAAGCGUCCGUAGCUGGCCGCGCAAGUCCGUCGGGAAAUCCACCUGCCCAACAGGUGGGCGUCCGGCGGAAACUGUGUGGCUUGGAACCGGAAGGCUCAGAGGGUACGUCCGGGGUAGGAGUGAAAUCCCGUAAUCCCGGACGGACCACCGAUGGCGAAAGCACUCUGAGAAGACGGCUUCGACAGUGAGGGACGAAAGCUAGGGUCUCAAACCGGAUUAGAAACCCCGGUGUCC
rnacentral:rRNA from 1 species